AGUGAACGCUGGCGGUAGGCCUAACACAUGCAAGUCGAACGGCAGCACAGGAGAGCUUGCUCUCUGGGUGGCGAGUGGCGGACGGGUGAGGAAUACAUCGGAAUCUACUUUUUCGUGGGGGAUAACGUAGGGAAACUUACGCUAAUACCGCAUACGACCUACGGGUGAAAGCAGGGGACCUUCGGGCCUUGCGCGAUUGAAUGAGCCGAUGUCGGAUUAGCUAGUUGGCGGGGUAAAGGCCCACCACAGCGACGAUCCGUAGCUGGUCUGGUAGGAGGAUCAGCCACACUGGAACUGAGACACGGUCCAGACUCCUACGGGAGGCAGAAGUGGGGAAUAUUGGACAAUGGGAGCAAGCCUGAUCCAGCCAUACCGCGUGGGUGAAGAAGGCCUUCGCGUUGUAAAGCCCUUUUGUUGGGAAAGAAAUCCAGCUGGCUAAUACCCGGUUGGGAUGACGGUACCCAAAGAAUAAGCACCGGCUAACUUCGUGCCAGCAGCCGCCGUAA
rnacentral:rRNA from 1 species